UACAGAGGGUGCAAGCGUUAAUCGGAAUUACUGGGCGUAAAGCGUGCGCAGACGGUUGCGUAAGUCAGAUGUGAAAGCCCCGGGCUCAACCCGGGAAGUGCACCCGAAACUGCGUGGCUCGAGUACCGGAGAGGUUGGUGGAAUUCUCGGUGUAGAGGUGAAAUUCGUAGAUAUCGAGAGGAACACCGGUGGCGAAGGCGGCCAACUGGACGAGUACUGACGCUGAGACACGAAAGCGUGGGGAGCAAACAGG
rnacentral:rRNA from 1 species